rnacentral:rRNA from 1 species
UGCAGUCGAGCGGCAGCACAAGUAGAGUUUACUUACUGAGGUGGCGAGCGGCGGACGGGUGAGUAAUGCCUAGGGAUCUGCCCAGUCGAGGGGGAUAACAGUUGGAAACGACUGCUAAUACCGCAUACGCCCUACGGGGGAAAGAGGGGGACCUUCGGGCCUCUCGCGAUUGGAUGAACCUAGGUGGGAUUAGCUAGUUGGUGAGGUAAUGGCUCACCAAGGCGACGAUCCCUAGCUGUUCUGAGAGGAUGAUCAGCCACACUGGGACUGAGACACGGCCCAGACUCCUACGGGAGGCAGCAGUGGGGAAUAUUGCACAAUGGGGGAAACCCUGAUGCAGCCAUGCCGCGUGUGUGAAGAAGGCCUUCGGGUUGUAAAGCACUUUCAGUAGGGAGGAAAGGGUGAGUCUUAAUACGGCUCAUCUGUGACGUUACCUACAGAAGAAGGACCGGCUAACUCCGUGCCAGCAGCCGCGGUAAUACGGAGGGUCCGAGCGUUAAUCGGAAUUACUGGGCGUAAAGCGUGCGCAGGCGGUUUGUUAAGCGAGAUGUGAAAGCCCUGGGCUCAACCUAGGAAUAGCAUUUCGAACUGGCGAACUAGAGUCUUGUAGAGGGGGGUAGAAUUCCAGGUGUAGCGGUGAAAUGCGUAGAGAUCUGGAGGAAUACCGGUGGCGAAGGCGGCCCCCUGGACAAAGACUGACGCUCAUGCACGAAAGCGUG